rnacentral:rRNA from 1 species
GGCUAACGCUUGGCGGCGUGUCUUAGCCAUGCAAGUCGAGCGGACUUAUGGGGUAACUUAUAAGUCAGCGGCGGACGGCGGAGUAACACGUAGCUAACCUACCCUCUGGACGGGGAUAACCUACCGAAAGGUUGGGCUAAUACCCGAUGUAGUCAUCCUGUAUAGGGGUGAUGAAAGGUGGGCUUCUGUUUACAAGCUCAUGCUGGAGGAGGGGGCUGCGGCCUAUCAGGUAGUUGGUAGGGUAAUAGCCUACCAAGCCGAUGACGGGUAGCCGGCCUGAGAGGGUGACCGGCCCGAGGGGCACUGAGAUACGGGUCCCACUCCUACGGGAGGCAGCAGGCUAGAAAUUUGGGCAAUGGGGGAAACCCUGACCCAGUGACGCCGCGUGCAGGAAGGAGCCCUUCGGGGUGUAAACUGCUGUCGUGUAGGGAGAAGGGUACUAAGGUGAACAAUCUUAGUACUUGACGGUACUACAGGAGGAAGCCCAGGCUAACCUCGUG